GGAAGCGUGCCCGAACAUUUAAGGAUUACUUUGAUAGAGUAAACCACAGAGGUUAAAACCCUCUCACUUCC
rnacentral:tRNA from 1 species